UCCCUGGUGGCUCAGAUGGUAAAGCAUCUGCCCCCAGUGCAGGAGACCCGGGUUUGAUCCCUGGGUUGGGAA
rnacentral:tRNA from 1 species